rnacentral:rRNA from 1 species
AUUGAACGCUGGCGGCAUGCUUUACACAUGCAAGUCGAACGGUAACAGGCCGCAAGGUGCUGACGAGUGGCGAACGAGUGAGUAAUGCAUCGGAACGUGCCCAGUCGUGGGGGAUAACGCAGCGAAAGCUGUGCUAAUACCGCAUACGAUCUGUGGAUGAAAGCGGGGGACCGUAAGGCCUCGCGCGAUUGGAGCGGCCGAUGUCAGAUUAGGUAGUUGGUGGGGUAAAGGCUCACCAAGCCGACGAGCUGUAGCUGGUCUGAGAGGACGACCAGCCACACUGGGACUGAGACACGGCCCAGACUCCUACGGGAGGCAGCAGUGGGGAAUUUUGGACAAUGGGCGCAAGCCUGAUCCAGCAAUGCCGCGUGCAGGAAGAAGGCCUUCGGGUUGUAAACUGCUUUUGUACGGAGCGAAAAGGCUCUCUCUAAUACAGGGGGCUCAUGACGGUACCGUAAGAAUAAGCACCGGCUAACUACGUGCCAGCCGCCGCGGUAAUAC